GACGAACGCUGGCGGCGUGCUUAACACAUGCAAGUCGAACGGGUCUGCCCUGUUUUUUGCGGGGUGGGUCAGUGGCGAACGGGUGAGUAACACGUGAGUAACCUGCCCCUCACUUCUGGAUAACCGCUUGAAAGGGUGGCUAAUACGGGGUGUUCUGGCUGUGCCGCAUGGUGUGGCUGGGAAAGAUUCACUUUUGUGGUGUUUUGGUGGGGGAUGGGCUCGCGGCCUAUCAGCUUGUUGGUGGGGUGAUGGCCUGCCAAGGCUUUGACGGGUAGCCGGCCUGAGAGGGUGGGCGGUCACACUGGGACUGAGAUACGGCCCAGACUCCUGCGGGAGGCAGCAGCGGGGGGUAUUGCACAAUGGGCGGAAGCCUGAUGCAGCGACGUCGCGUGAGGGAUGGAGGCCUUCGGGUUGUGAACCUCUUUCGCCGGUGAAGAAGGUCCUGCUCUUUGUGGUGGGGUUGACGGUAGCCGGGUUAUGAAGCGCCGGCUAACUACGUG
rnacentral:rRNA from 1 species